GUAAAGAGAACUAGUCUUAAAACCUACAUCUAGUUUAUUGCUGUGGCAGGGAGAGACAUAGACUACAGGUUAUGUGAACAAUACUGUACCUUAUUUUUCACCUGUACCAGAUGCUCAUCCUAAAUGGCAAGAAAGAGAGAAACCAGGCAGGGAGGGGAACCUAGGAGCAUUAUAGACAGAUCGCCUGCAAUAAACAAAUUUUCUUUCCACCAAAUUCCAGGCAUGGAACAAAACAUUUCUGGAUGAAUACAAAAUUACAGUGCCUGUCUUCAGAAUUUAUCAUCUUUUAUCAGUAAGAAAAAAAAAAAAAACUAGUUAGAUACCAAGAAAAGACAUCUAUUGUCAACAUUGCAAACAAAAGUGUCAUCAUAGAAGCAGAAAGACUUUGUUAACAUUGUUUUCCAGGGCAUCACUGCCAGGAAAGCCCAAAAGAGUUUCAAGUCCUCUUCUACAUUUCCAUUAAUUAGAGAAAUACUGGAAAAUGCUGCUUUUUAUUUGUUCAGUCAUCAAGCACCACACAAGGAUUUUAAGGAUUUACCCUAAACAGAAUGCAGAUCUAAGAGGAUGUCUGUUUUUUGCACUCUCAGAAAAUGAAGAUCCUACAACAGCUUAUUAAUCUUCUGGUUAAUCAGGGAAAAACCAGGAAAUCCAACUGUGCAGAUUUCCACUGCGUGUACAAAAUAGGGAGUGGGGAUGGAGAGAAGAAAGAAAAAUAAUUUUU